ensembl:lncRNA
AUUUUAAUCUUGUGUGGGUAGGGUCAGGUGUGUGUCUUGUUAUCACUGAUUGUUUCAUGUGGGCGUGACCGCUAAUUAGACCAUCAGCAGCAGCUGUGAGUCAUUUCCAGCUCACUAUUUAUUGCCCUGUCUCUCGUCUUGUGUUUGUCAAAUCGUUGUUGCAGUCUCCCAUGUGUGUGCCUGGUCUUUGUUCUUUGUCUCCUGUUUCAUGCAUGACGGAUUGCUCACUCCUGGUUCACUGUGGGAUCUUCACCUCUGUACUCACCUCAGAAUCGCCCGUCUCAGUCCCUGCGUCAUGCUCUCCUGCUGUCUGACAUUCCAACAUCACACACACUACUGGUCCCAUAACCCUCAUCACCUCCGGCAAUCACACAGAGACCAUUCCAUUCCUCCUGCUUGACUCCCUGGUUGCACCCAUUGUUUUAGGCCAUCCUUGGCUCGUGAGACAUAACCCUCGGGUGGAUUGGGGCUUUAACUCCGUCACUAUGUGGAGCUAGCACUGUCACGAGUCCUGUCUGGUGUCUGCUUGUUCGUCUGUGUCUGUUUCUGUGUUUCAGGAGAAGGCAGCGGUUCUGUCAAACGUGCCCGCGGAGUACCUGGACCUGAAGGAGUUGUUCAGAACACGAUCAACACGUCGGGCGAGUGCUUCAGAGAUUGCUAGAGAAUGGGUUUUUUGUCAAGAUGGAUCGCUCACUCCUGGUUCACCGUGGGAUCUUCACCUCCGUACUCACCUCAGGAUCGCCCAUCUCAGUCCCUGCGUCCCGCUCUCCUGCUGUCUGGUUCCGGACCUGAUUCUUGGCCGAGAGAGAUCUGCCCAGUAUUCUAUUGUGUGGCUCUGUUAUCUGACGCUCUGUGUGAAAGUUGUUCAUUAA